rnacentral:lncRNA from 1 species
GACAGGGUUUUUACACACCCUGGAGGGAGACCCUGGAUGGAGUGCUGACUUUAUGGCAACUCUGCUUAACAUUGCAAGAAAGCUCUACACUGUUUUCGAGAGCUGUACUUUAUGGUUACACUGUGUAGUGGCUAUUCCUGGUUGUCAACUUGACAAUAUUUGGAAUGAACUACAAUCCAGAAUUGGAAAGCUCACCAGUGACCCUUAUCUGGAGGCUUGGAGAUCCUUAUCUGGAUCUUGGUUUGGAGAUCUUGAGCCAUAGUGGCUAUGGAUUCCAGAAGAUUGAAUUUCCGAGUUUAAGGAACACACCUUUAAUCUGGGCUACACUUUCUGCUGGAGACAAUAUAAGGACAUUGGAAGAAGGGAGUCUAGCUCUUGCUCCUUCGCCUGCUUGCUGUGUGAGACUGAGUAACUGCUAGAUCCUUGGACUUCCAUUCACAACUGCGACUGAACCAUUGUUGGGAAUUGGGCUGCCGACUGUGCCGAGAAUGGAGCAAGAAAGGAGGCCAGGAGCAUCCUGUCAUGUGAUCUACAUCCCAGUAUCCCACCAUCUUGCAUUCCAUUUUGGUUGAAAAGGAUGCUGCUUACUUCCAUUAUAUAUUAACAGCAAGGGGUAUAUCGUCAGAUAGCUAAUUCUUGAUGCACAAAUUUAUGAAUAACUUUAUAAACAUAUAAGCAGAUAACCAAAUAAAAACUGUCACUAACUCAAUCCAAGGUGAACAGUAGCCCCUUCUCAAGCUAGGCUAGAGAAGCUCACAGAACUCGGAGAUCCAACUUGCAUGCUGACACACAGGUGCCCAGGCAUCUAGAGGCUCAGGAGCCUCUCUUAAGCCAGCUGCUCAGUUAUCUCCCAUUAAUAAAAUAGAAAAUGCAGAAUGUCUCCCCUCUAUCAGCACUUGUCAGAAUUAAUCAGUGAUUGGAAAAUAACUAAACAGUAUUUAUUACACUUACUUAAUCACUAAUUAUAAGUGAAAGUGCUUUGCUGCUGAUUUCUGGAGUCAUGUUAGCAAACUGCUGAGUCCCCAGGAAGUGGCCGCAGGGACUUUCUUACGUCUAUUUGGUUAAUGAGAAGUAUGUGAGGCUUUGACAGGCGACUAGCAUCCGAGGUGAGUGCAUUUUCUGAAAAUGACCUCAACCUGUGCAUCCACACUAACCAGAAACAGCAUCCUCCCUGAGCAUGUUGCUGUGCAAAGAGCUGGGAGGGUGGUUGGUGGGAAUAGAAAAACCCUAAGUGUUUGGUGUUGGAAGCGCUGUCUGCGAGGAUCAGAGGGCACGCUGUUUCCCCGACAUUUUCAGUGCUCCUUAGCAGUUCUAUUAUUUAGUUAGCUGGCAUGACUGCUGAUUCCUCAUCUGCGUCAUCUCUCUCUCUCUACCUGUCAGUCACUGCACGGAGGAAGGAGUUCUCUUUCUCCCAGCGAGCGCAUUCAUUCCAGCAUUAACCUCUCCAGCAUCCUUUCUGUUGGCUCUCAUUUGGGUUUGUGCUAAAGCUCAUUUUCCAUGGUCCCUCUAUGCCGAAAAUUCAGAUGUUCACUGUUUACAGCUUCUUUAAAACAAUUUUUAUAUACUUGACUAUCUACUAAGCCAUCCAAAUCCUCUUUACAAUCUAAAUAAAUCUACUUCUUAAGCU